UCGGCUGUGAAAUGCUUUUCAUUGGAUGAUAAUCCACCACCAGAAGAGGUAGUUUUCGGAGGUAAACGCACAGAGUGGCCAGACGGUAUGGCAUAUGAGGGUAGAUAAUUAAAAAUAUUUACAAAAUUCUAUGCCAUGGAUUUACAAAUAUAAAUUAAUAUUUAUUUUUUAAUAGAGAUCACAACAUUCAACGAUACAACAUACAAAGAGAAUGAUUUAUUUCUGAAAAAUGUUGUAUUCGGCGGUAAUGUAUUAUAACAAAUUCUCAGGUGGUUUUUCAAGAAAGUACUAUAGUUAAAUACUUUCUUUUAUAUUAUGGUAAAGAUUUAAAAGUUGGAAUUUAUGGAGAGAAUUUUAUCCAAAUAUCAGAGGUACCAUAUUUGGAAUUUUGUUAAUACGCCCAAGUUCUCGAUGAUGGAAGUCAAGUAUGUGGUGGAUCCAUUAUCUCUGAAAUAUGGAUAUUAACCGCUGCCCACUGCUUUGAAAAGCAUGGUAAAUAUCGAUAAUAACAGGAUCAACAGCAAGAGGAAAGGAAGGGCAGCGUCACGAAGUCGAGAAAAUCAUAGUGCAUAAAGAAUACAAUGAGACUAUGGACAAUUACAUUGCUUUACUUCAACUUAGAAAACCUAUACAGUUGAAUUAAAUGCAGAAAAAAAUUGAAAUUUCGACGAAACCUCCUAAUGCUAACGAAAAAUUAAAAGUUACUGGAUUCGGAAAAGAAGGAGAUAAGUUGCCAAGUCCUAAAACUCUAAAAGCAGCUAUCAUGAUUGUUGAAUAAAUAUUUUGAUACAUCUAUAGACAUAUAAAUGUAAAAUAACAUUUUUCUUGUAAAAAUUAGAUCACUAAAUAAGUUACGUGUAUAAAUGAUUCUAACGAGAUAAAUAAAUAAAAUUAUUCAAAAUA
rnacentral:lncRNA from 1 species